CCCUAUAUAAUAAAUAAAUUAUUUAAAUGAAUCAAUAAAAAUAAAAUAUACCUUUGUGCAGUUAUGAUUUCAGUUUAGGCCUACAAAAGUAGUACUCUUUCUCCCCACCAAUCGGAGCAUACACUUUAGCUUGGAAGAUAACUGCAGAUUGAUCUCCAUCAGCAUCCACUACAUCAUCCUUGGCUGUAAAGGUGAGAUAAAAUUCAUCGCCAGCACAAAACACUGAAUUUGCCUUGAGGACCUCCACAAACUGGUAAUUUGUAUUCUACAUUUUAAGAAACAAGGUGAAAAAGAGAAUUAAAAAAAAAGAGUAAGGAUGAAAGAAGCAUCCAGUGUACAACCCGCACACCACAUACUUAUCAGAGUUGAACCUGCUGAUUGCCCAUUCUGAACA
rnacentral:lncRNA from 1 species